GACGAACGCUGGCGGCGUGCCUAACACAUGCAAGUCGAACGAAGCUCUGCGAUACAAAGACUUCGGUCAAGUUGAACGGAUGACUUAGUGGCGGACGGGUGAGUAACGCGUGAGGAACCUGCCUUUCAGUGGGGGACAACAGUUGGAAACGACUGCUAAUACCGCAUAAUGUAUUCUGACCGCAUGAUCGGAAUACCAAAGAUUUAUUGCUGAAAGAUGGCCUCGCGUCUGAUUAGAUAGUUGGUGAGGUAACGGCCCACCAAGUCAACGAUCAGUAGCCGGACUGAGAGGUUGAACGGCCACAUUGGGACUGAGAUACGGCCCAGACUCCUACGGGAGGCAGCAGUGGGGAAUAUUGGGCAAUGGGGGAAACCCUGACCCAGCAACGCCGCGUGAAGGAAGAAGGCUUUCGGGUUGUAAACUUCUUUUACCAGGGACGAAGGACGUGACGGUACCUGGAGAAAAAGCCACGGCUA
rnacentral:rRNA from 1 species